rnacentral:rRNA from 1 species
UACAGAGGUCUCAAGCGUUGUUCGGAUUCAUUGGGCGUGAAGGGUGUGUAGGUGGCGCGCUAAGUCGGGUGUGAAAUUUCGGAGCUUAACUCCGAAACUGCAUUCGAUACUGGCGUGCUUGAGGACUGGAGAGGAGACUGGAAUUUACGGUGUAGCAGUGAAAUGCGUAGAUAUCGUAAGGAAGACCAGUGGCGAAGGCGGGUCUCUGGACAGUUCCUGACACUGAGACACGAAGGCCAGGGGAGCAAACGGG